GAUGAACGCUGGCGGCGUGCCUAAUACAUGCAAGUCGAGCGAACGGACGAGAAGCUUGCUUCUCUGAUGUUAGCGGCGGACGGGUGAGUAACACGUGGAUAACCUACCUAUAAGACUGGGAUAACUUCGGGAAGCCGGAGCUAAUACCGGAUAAUAUUUUGAACCGCAUGGUUCAAAAGUGAAAGACGGUCUUGCUGUCACUUAUAGAUGGAUCCGCGCUGCAUUAGCUAGUUGGUAAGGUAACGGCUUACCAAGGCAACGAUGCAUAGCCGACCUGAGAGGGUGAUCGGCCACACUGGAACUGAGACACGGUCCAGACUCCUACGGGAGGCAGCAGUAGGGAAUCUUCCGCAAUGGGCGAAAGCCUGACGGAGCAACGCCGCGUGAGUGAUGAAGGUCUUCGGAUCGUAAAACUCUGUUAUUAGGGAAGAACAAAUGUGUAAGUAACUGUGCACAUCUUGACGGUACCUAAUCAGAAAGCCACGGCUAACUACGUG
rnacentral:rRNA from 1 species